GCACCCCUGGCUCCAACUUCACCUGGUCUUGUGCUCACUCGGUGCUUUUGUUAUUUUAAGGGCCUCUGAAGAAUGGGUUUCUUUCCUGUUUAGAAUUCAGCCCUCUACCGCAGUGCUUCCCAAACUGUAUUCCAUGGGGGUUGGGGAAUGAAGGCUGUGGUAGGUAAUGACUCUCCCAAAGAUGUUCACACCCUCAUCCAUGGUACCUGUGACUGUUGUGUUACAUGGUAAAUGGAACUUUGCAGAUAUGACAUAGAUCUUGAGAUGAAAAGAACAUCCUGGUAUACCCAGGUGGGCCCAAUCUCAUCACAUGAGUUCUUAAAAGUUGAAAGUCUUCCCUGGCUGUGGUCAGAGAGAAAUGAGACAGAAGAACAUGGAGGAGAAAUUCAAGAUGUGAGUUAUUCAACCUACCCCUGCUGGCUUUGCAGAUAGAGGAAGGGGCCAUGAGCCAAGGAAUUUAGGCAGCCUUUAGAAGCUGGGAAUGGCCCUCAGCUAGCAAGGAGACCUUGAGACCUUGGUCCUAUAACCACAAGGAAUUCUGUUCUGCCAAGAGCUGGAAUGACCAAGCAUCGUGUGUGCAAAUAGAGGGCUUCUGCGGAGUCGCAGCAUCAGUAUCACACUCCGUUGUCAUAGUUACACCCUGAAAAGGAAGAUGCCCUGACAAAGACCAGAUUGGCUGUGGACUAGAGUACUCCUGACAGCCUAAGUACUGCCCCCAGGAGCCAGAGGAGUCUUUUCUACAGAAUCUUCUCGGUGGGGAUUGUGGUAAAGGCAACCUCUGCAAGAGAAUGAUGGGACUAUAUUUAGGGCUCUGGGCCCAGAAAUAAUAAGCAGCGCAUCGUCUCAUGAUACAGACGUGCCUACAUUCUUACACCCUGUCUUACUUCAAAGCCACUGUAGGAAGAAGCUACAGGAUGAGCAAAGAAGGGAAACAUUCGCUUCCAGAGUGUGGUCCAGAUGCCACGAGGUGAAAGGAAUCUGGACUGCGGUGCUGACAGUGAUGAGAGUGCUGGAAGAGCAAAAGCAAGCCCAGAGAAUGUGUGAAAGUCUCUCACAGAUGACUGUCGAAGGACGGCUCAUCACAGGCGGUUGCGGUUCUGAGCCCAGCCGAGGAGAACAGUGUCAUCAGCCUCGGUGGGGAACAUGAUGGAUUUGAUUUGGGAUAUGUUUUGGAGAAGGGAUGCUGGCAGAACUAUCAAAUGGAAUGUUUAAACAGUCAGGUACUUAGAAAUGUAGGCCUGGAACUUCAAAAUUUUAAGUAAUGAUCAGCCAACGUUAAGGUUCUUUAAAUCGUCAUUCAUUCGUCCCUGAAAAUGGAAAGUGCCCACUGCCUGCAAUGUUAUUCAAGUGUUUGUCUGAAUGCAGAGUUCUGGGCCCCACUUUCCACCAAUGGGAUAGUGAUCUCUGGGGAUGGGCCCCAGAAAUCUGCCUUUGGACAAGUUCUCUAAGAGGUUUUAGUCUCCCUGGAGUUUGAGACCCACCAGUCCACUGGGAUUAUAUCAAGUGUGGACAGCAUUAAUGCCUUACUGCCUUACUGCCUUGCCUCCAUGUCCUUCUUCCUGGAGGAACUAUGGAAGUAUUCCAUCAUCUAGAAACCCAAGACCUGAGAGGUGGUGAUUCUUCGAAGGCAUGAUGGAGCCCAGGUCAGAGUCGUGGAGCCCAUGUCAGCAAGAUCACUCUGAAGAACACCUGAGUCUUGAUCCACCCCUCAGCCUUGUAACAAUUAAAUUUCACCAUCUGUUAUGAUCCAUUCCUAGCUGCAGUCACUGGAGGGAGCCUCCCACAGACAUCAGCUUUCCUAGAAGGAGAUGCGUUUGGGGAGCUGGGAGAUGCUGUGAAUACAUCCGUCACCACAUCAAUCAAGUCAUAUCCACAACAUACAUGAUUCCUGUUGCCUCCUGGCUGUGAUUUAUCUGAUUCCCUGGCAUGUCAGCAUAUCAGAUGAUUCAUUUUGAACCUCAGCCUCACUGGAUGUGAUAUUCAAAUUGGACUCCUCUGAGAAUCCUUACCCCAGAGUAGUCAUGGCAUGUCUCAUAUGAGAAUCUUGCCACAAUCAUCAUAGUGAUCACAAUACAAAAUAAUGAGCCCUGUUUUUAUCAGACUUAAUGGUUGGUUGUCAAAAAACUUUCACAGCUAUUACAUAGCAAGUCUUCACAAUGGGAGUUAGGGAAAACAGGAGCC
ensembl:lncRNA